GGGAGUAUAGCUCAGUGGUAAAGUACUUACCUGGCAUGUGCGAGGCCUAGGUUUGGACCCUAGUACUACAU
rnacentral:tRNA from 1 species